CAGGGAGACAACAAAAUGUUUAAUAUUAUUAUUUUGUCACCUUAGGUCGAUCGGUAUCUCACGUUUUUAAUUUAUUAAGAAUUUCAUUUCCUAAGUUUUUCUAGGUCACACCCAUUAUUUUUCCUGGGCCAUUAGCUCAGGUGGUUAGAGCGCACCCCUGAUAAGGGUGAGGUCCCUGGUUCAAGUCCAGGAUGGCCCAUAUCUCUAUGUUGGGGGUAUAGCUCAGUUGGUAGAGCGCCUGCUUUGCAAGCAGGAUGUCAGCGGUUCGAGUCCGCUUACCUCCACUGAUUACCACCUCUUCCAUAACCGGUAGAAAGGAAAUGUUUUGAGUUGUGAUCAAAUUCUGAAAGAAUCUAGCUUCCUAAUGAAUUCAUUAAGAUGCUGGACUCAUUGAAUUAAUUUCAUUGUUUUCAGAGAACCUUGACAACUGCAUAGAUUAUUUUAAAGACAAUAAGCAUCUUUAAUGAUGCAGAUUUAUUAUUUGUGCGAAUGCAUUAAUAACAAUUCUAUUAAGCUGAUGCUUCAAUUUUUGAAGUUAUU
rnacentral:tRNA from 1 species